CCUACGGGGGGCAGCAGUGGGGAAUAUUGCACAAUGGGCGAAACCCUGAUGCAGCGACGCCGCGUGAGUGAAGAAGUAAUUCGGUAUGUAAAGCUCUAUCAGCAGGGAAGAAAAUGACGGUACCUGAGUAAAAAGACCCGGCUAACUACGUGCCAGCAGCCGCGGUAAUACGUAGGGGGCACGCGUUAUCCGGAUGUACUGGGUGUAAAGGGGGCGUGGACGGCAGUGCAAGUCUGGAGUGAAAGGCUGGGGCUCAACCCCCGGAAUGCACUGGAAACUGUACGGCUUGAGUGCAGGAGAGGCAAGUGGAAUUCCUAGUGUAGCGGUGAAAUGCGUAGAUAUUAGGAGGAACACCAGUGGCGAAGGCGGCUUGCUGGACUGGAACUGACGUUGAGGCUCGAAAGCGUGGGGAGCAAACAGGAUUAGAUACCCUGGUAGUC
rnacentral:rRNA from 1 species